CAUCCAUGGUCUUUCGCACAUGGUCCCACGGCCUGCGGCCUCCCGUGCGUGCUUCCUCCCCCCGCCGUCCCGCCGCCGAACACCGUCGCCGCAGCACCGCCUCCGCUGAGCGCCACCUUGCUGUCGUCUAACGCGCACGUCGAGCGCUGCGCUGGUUGGCAGCGGCGAGGUCGCUUUUCCCCCACAUCUCUGUUUUCCGGCAGCCGCUGCCGCUCGCCGGAAUUCGUGAGCUCCAGUCCACCUCGGUUCAAUUCCUUCCGUCGUGAGCAGCUCCUCUAGCCCCUCGACUGAUUUCCAGCUCCAGCAUGACCUUUUCUCCGCCGGAGAGGCAGUGGUGUGCAGCGACGCUGUCUCCAUUGCCGCCUGUGAGGAGCUUCGCGGAUAGGCAUCAUGUGUCACCGCCGUUGCUGUCUGAGCCUCUGAGGCACCCAUCGCUGCCCCCUUCCAGUCGAUUCACGGCGAGCAGGGCGCGACGAACCCUGGCAGACGCCGACGUGCGACGGGAGGCCAGGCGGCGGCGGGAGGCCGGCCGGUGGCGGCAGCAGCUCGCUUCGUCAGCGACGGGCGGCAGCGUAGCCUUGGUCCGGCCCCACCUGCAGAGAGCUGGAGAGAGGAGAGACAGAAUUGGAUAUGAAGAGUGUAAUUUGGCUAGUCUGUUGGAGAGAAGCACAAUAUAGAGAUAUAAUAUUAGCUAAAUGGUUAGCUAAACUGGAAUUUAGCUAAUGUGAUUUGAAGGAGCUCUUGGAGAUGCUCUUAUAAUUACCUCAUUCCCCUAUUAGUUCGGCCAAUUAUCUCAUGUGAAUUUGAAACAUUACAAAAAAAAAAGAAUUUGUCAUA